rnacentral:rRNA from 1 species
AUUGAACGCUGGCGGCAUGCUUUACACAUGCAAGUCGGACGGCAGCACAGAGAAGCUUGCUUCUUGGGUGGCGAGUGGCGAACGGGUGAGUAAUAUAUCGGAACGUACCGAGUAAUGGGGGAUAACUAAUCGAAAGAUUAGCUAAUACCGCAUAUUCUCUGAGGAGGAAAGCAGGGGACCUUCGGGCCUUGCGUUAUUCGAGCGGCCGAUAUCUGAUUAGCUAGUUGGUGGGGUAAAGGCCUACCAAGGCGACGAUCAGUAGCGGGUCUGAGAGGAUGAUCCGCCCAAUUGGACCGAGAACCCGGCCCAGACCCCAAGGGGGGGCAGAGGUGGGAAAUUUUGGAAAAGGGGGGAAGGCCGGACCAGGCAAGGCGGGGUGUCUGAAAAAGGCCUUGGGGUUGAAAAGGAUUUUUGUCGGGGAAAAAAAGGGUGUUUCUAAAACCGGAGGCUGAGGACGGUACCGGAAAAAUAAGCACGGGCAAAUUACGG